GAUGGAGCAAUGCCAUGUGAAUGAUGAAGGUCUAUUUGAUCGUAAAAUUCUUUUAGGGGGGAAAACUCUGAUGGUACCCCCUGAAUAAGUGACAGCAAACUAUGUGCCAGCAGCUGCGGUAAUACAUAGGUCGCGAGCGUUAUUCGGAUUUAUUGGGCGUAAAGCAAGCGCAGGCGGAUGGAAAAGUUCUGUGUUAAAAGCAGCUGCUCAACAGUUGUUUGCACCGAAUACUAUCCAUCUAGAAUGUGGUAGGAAGUUUUGGAAUUAAAUAUGGAGCGGUGGAAUGUGUAGAUAUAUUUAAGAACACCAGAGGCGAAGGCGAAAACUUAGGCCAUUAUUGACGCUUAGGCUUGAAAGUGUGGGUAGCAAAUGGGAUUAGAUACCCCAGUAGUCCACACCGUAAACGAUGGGUAUUAGAUGUCGGGUUUUGAGAUUCGGCGUUGUAGCUUACGUGUUAAAUACCCCGCCUGGGUAGUACAUAUGCAAAUAUGAAACUCAAAGGAAUUGACGGGGACCUGAACAAGUGGUGGAACAUGUUGCUUAAUUCGAUAAUACACGAAAAACCUUACCAAGGUUUGACAUCCCUCGCGAAACUAUGGAAACAUAGCGGAGGUUAUCGAGGUGACAGGUGGUGCAUGGUUGUCGUCAGCUCGUGUCAUGAGAUGUUUGGUUAAGUCCCGCAACGAGCGCAACCCUACUCUCUAGUUGUUUGUCUAGAGAGACUGAACAGUAAUGUAUAGGAAGGUUGGGAUCACGUCAAAUCAUCAUGCCCCUUAUGCCUUGGGCCGCAAACGUGUUACAAUGGCGAGUACAAUGUGUUGCAAACUAGCGAUAGUGAGCCAAUCACUAAAACUCGUCUCAGUCCGGAUAAAAGGCUGCAAUUCGCCUUUU
rnacentral:rRNA from 1 species